AUUGAACGCUGGCGGCAUGCCUUACACAUGCAAGUCGAACGGCAGCACGGGUGAUUGCACCUGGUGGCGAGUGGCGAACGGGUGAGUAAUACAUCGGAACAUGUCCUGUAGUGGGGGAUAGCCCGGCGAAAGCCGGAUUAAUACCUCAUGCGAUCUACGGAUGAAAGCGGGGGACCUUCGGGCCUCGCGCUAUAGGGCUGGCCGAUGGCUGAUUAGCUAGUUGGUGGGGUAAAGGCCUACCAAGGCGACGAUCAGUAGCUGGUCUGAGAGGACGACCAGCCACACUGGGACUGAGACACGGCCCAGACUCCUACGGGAGGCAGCAGUGGGGAAUUUUGGACAAUGGGCGAAAGCCUGAUCCAGCAAUGCCGCGUGUGUGAAGAAGGCCUUCGGGUUGUAAAGCACUUUUGUCCGGAAAGAAAUCCUUGGCCCUAAUACGGUCGGGGGAUGACGGUACCGGAAGAAUAAGCACCGGCUAACUACGUG
rnacentral:rRNA from 1 species